rnacentral:rRNA from 1 species
CCGUCAUGGGGGAAGCGAGUGGUGUUGCAUUGAAGGGCCGUUGUGUGUUCAGCCCGAAAGGGUGUAUUGGCAUGGCGGCUUACCUGUCGUGGGUUCUGGGCCGUGGAUUUUGCACGGCUCGGGGCUGAGGGCUCCCAAUUUGGUGAGGACGACCGGGCGUUGACACGAUUCGACCCGUCUUGAAACACGGACCAAGGAGUCUAGCGCGGCUGCGAGUCGAAGGGUGCAAGCCUGAAGGCAAAGUGAACGCGAGUGUAAAACGAGCAGUUUGGGGCGGCAUGGGAUCGUUGAUUCCAAGUCUGACCUUGAGCAGUUGCGCUGGGACCCGAAAGAUGGUGAACUAUGCCGGAGUAGGGCAAAGCCAGAGGAAACUCUGGUGGAGGCUCGUAGCGGUGCUGACGUGCAAAUCGCUCGUCGAACUUGGGUAUAGGGGCGAAAGACUAAUCGAACCAUCUAGUAGCUGGUUCCCUCCGAAGUUUCUCUCAGGAUAGCGGGCCGACGGUGUUGUUUUGUGCGGUAAAGCGAAUGAUUAGCGCACUCGGGGGCAGUUUGCCUUCGGGCGAUUCUCAAACUUUCAAUGCGCAAGGGUGCCGCUGCUUUGGUGAGCGGUACCGGCAAAAACGUCGGCCCUGUGGGCCACUUUUGGUAAGCAGAACUGGCGAUACGGGAUGAACCGUAAGCGUGGU